GACGAACGCUGGCGGCGUGCCUAAUACAUGCAAGUCGAACGAGAGCGACCGGUGCUUGCACUGGUCAAUCUAGUGGCGAACGGGUGAGUAACACGUGGGUAACCUGCCCAUCAGAGGGGGAUAACAUCCGGAAACGGAUGCUAAAACCGCAUAGGUCUUCGAACCGCAUGGUUUGAAGAGGAAAAGAGGCGCAAGCUUCUGCUGAUGGAUGGACCCGCGGUGCAUUAGCUAGUUGGUGAGGUAACGACUCACCAAGGCCGUGAUGCAUAGCCGGCCUGAGAGGGUGAUCGGCCACAUUGGGACUGAGACACGGCCCAAACUCCUACGGGAGGCAGCAGUAGGGAAUCUUCCGCAAUGGACGCAAGUCUGACGGAGCAACGCCGCGUGAGUGAAGAAGGUUUUCGGAUCGUAAAACUCUGUUGUUAGAGAAGAACAAGUGCUAGAGUAACUGUUAGCGCCUUGACGGUAUCUAACCAGAAAGCCACGGCUAACUACGUG
rnacentral:rRNA from 1 species